GAUGUGCUGCUUCUAAUUGUCCACUUAGGACAC
rnacentral:rRNA from 1 species